rnacentral:rRNA from 1 species
UGGGGAAUUUUGGACAAUGGGCGAAAGCCUGAUCCAGCAAUGCCGCGUGAGUGAAGAAGGCCUUCGGGUUGUAAAGCUCUUUUGUCAGGGAAGAAACGGUGUGGGCUAAUAUCCUGCACUAAUGACGGUACCUGAAGAAUAAGCACCGGCUAACUACGUGCCAGCAGCCGCGGUAAUACGUAGGGUGCAAGCGUUAAUCGGAAUUACUGGGCGUAAAGCGUGCGCAGGCGGUUUUGUAAGUCUGUCGUGAAAGCCCCGGGCUCAACCUGGGAAUUGCGAUGGAGACUGCAAGGCUUGAAUCUGGCAGAGGGGGGUAGAAUUCCACGUGUAGCAGUGAAAUGCGUAGAGAUGUGGAGGAACACCGAUGGCGAAGGCAGCCCCCUGGGUCAAGAUUGACGCUCAUGCACGAAAGCGUGGGGAGCAAACA